CGGCGCUUCCUGUAGGCUGGCAAACUUGCUUAGGGUGCAGCCGUGCAGGAGCCCGCGAACAGAGGCACUCCGCCGAGGCACGGUGCUCGGGAGGAUGGGUCCGCUCGCACGUCUUGAGGAACAUGUGGUGUAUUGGUGUGGCGGCUAGGGUAUCUAGGGACGGAGGACUCACCAGCACAGAAGAGGAACACCGUCAGAGAGAUAGGAACGAUGUGGGCAGGGGAUCGGGGAGAUCGAUCGAGGGAGCAAGGCCUUAAGAAGCUUGUUGGGCUAUUUCUUAUUGGGCAUGGUGGGUCAAGAAGACGCAGUGAAUUGGCUUUUGUUUAUUUUUUUGUUUUAUUCGGUCAGUUCGGGUAACUGACCUUGAAAACUGAACUGCCCCAUAAAAAUUCGGUUUCCAAGAUUCUUGAACCGAAUUAGAAAUCAAAAUUAUCGAUUUUGGUUUAAUCAGGUUCGGUUGUGAUUAUUUCGGUUCGGUAUUUUCGGUUUCCGCUUAAUAUGCCCACCCCUGCCGCGAACCAUCCCGUCGGUUCCCAGCACUGGGACGCCUGUCACCUGGGUGCGGGCGGCAGAGCAGCUCGCGGAACGUUCCCAGGACGACAUCUCCCGGGCGCUGGACGAAGCGCUCGAGAUGCAGUCCGCCAUUUCGACGGAGCACAUCCUCGCCAGGAUCAUCCUGGAUGGAUCCCUAGGCACCUGAUGAUCCUCCUCUGUUCUGUUCGUCAUCCCUGCAGGUUUUGCGUUUUCCCAGCUUUUUUUUUCAUCACUCUAGGACAUAGGUGGUGCGUGGUCGACAGUUUACCGCAAGAGACUUGUUCCGGAGAAGGUUCUGUUUGUGUAGAUAAGCUCAUAAGCAUUUGUUCGAGUUCGAUCACUCAUCUGUGAUCCGUCGUUGAACUCAUGCUAUUGUCCAGGAAGAAUGUCAUGUAGAUAGAUGAGCCCACAUUUAUCUGCUUUUGCGUUUUCGCAGCUUGUACAAGAGAUUUUGUCUGAAGAUAAGCAUGUGGGUUGUUCAUCUGUUGGAUGUUAGAUGCACAUUAUUUUGGGCGAAAACGAAUCGGAUGCACAUUUCUUUAUGAUACUUCUAGAAUUACGAGUGUAUAACCAUUUAACCAUGACUCCAAGGCCAAUUAAUCAACAAAGAAUCUCCUUCAGAUUCACCCUGCGCUUGCUUCACCACUUCCUGUAAUGUUGAUUCAGACUAGUGUGGUUGGAACUUGGUUGUGUGGCUGCUUUUCGUUACACACUUUUUUUCAUGCUUCCGCUAAUUCGUUUGACUGGAAACGUGCUUUAUUAAGCCUAUGUGCAAAUUUAGGGAGAAAAAAUAGACCAAAUUGUGAAUAGAAGUUAUAUUUUCUCUCCCUCCUCUGUCACAUAUUAAGUUACUCAAAUUUAUUUAAAUAUGAAUGUAUCUUUACUAAAGAGCGUCUAGUUACAUGUAAUAUUUUAGAAUUUAAUAUGAGACCGUGGGAGUAAGUUAUGGGUCUAUAGUGAGGUGGGAUGAUGAUUAAAGUCUUAAAAAACGAUUGGAGAUUCAAAAAAGCAGGCUACCCUUUUUUUUUACUGUUGCUAAUUAUUAGACAUUUUUAGCGAGAGCUCUCCUAUUCGUUGUUAAAGGACAACAACGGAAUUCAGCGGUGAGAAUAAAAUGUAGCAACACACACCGAUAAAAAUUGAUAUUUGAGGUUCAGUAAACUCCCCUAAAAUAAUUUACAAAUAUGAUACUCCCUUCGUCCCGUGGCCAUAUUAGUGAUGAAAUAUUACAUGUAUAUAGACGCUUUUUGGGCAUAGAACUAGAUACACAUAUUCGGACAAAUUUGAGUCACUUAAUAUGACACGGAGUGAGUAUUUAAAUUCAUGUAGCCAGCUUAUAGCCUAUUAGGCUCAUGUUUGAGUCACUAGUAUACUUGGUCAAAAAACUCUUAUCAUUAAUGCACUAUAUUACACUUCUAUUUUUUUUUCGAAAAGGAGUUUGAAACCUCCGGGCCUCUUCAUCAAAUGAUGCACACAACCAAUUUUUAUUAUAACUUAUUCCACAAGCCUAACAAAAAUGAAUACAUCGAUCGAUCACUCAAAACCACCAUGCUAUACCUACAAACCUGAUGAAGAGGAUGGCCGUAUGACCUGAACGCACACCACCACCCAACAUCAAAACUGGGGGCAACAUGAAGGCACAACCGGUCUGGCAAAUCUUUAGCGUGUGCCGUAUGCGCACGCUCCAGAAUCAAUCGCCAUCUUCCACCAACCCAUAUUCAGGACACGGGUCGAAGUAUUGAACUUGUCAGGCCUGACAACGACGGCGCCGGCACGCACCCGACAACCACCCACCGACCAAGACCCUCUCACCCACAAAUCUAGCAUUCCCCCAAUGACGCCCUCAAGGGGGAGAGCGCCGACGUCGCCUAGUCCGAGGACUUUGGGUUUUCACCUAGGAACUUAGAUCGGGGGUGGUGUGGAAGUACCUCGACAAUGCCUCAUCGAAGGGAAGAGACGUCCAAAGACGUCACCGCCGUCGUGGUCAAAUGAGCCGACCAAGGGUUCCCUCGGGUACGAAACCAGCACCAUCGACACUCCGCCUUCUCCAAACUGACGAAAGACGCCACAUAUCAGAUUUGCUGAAGAGGAGAGAGCCCACUGUUGAGCGACCACCAUAGCAUGGCCACGGACCAUGGAUGACGUCACCAGGGCAUGGCCUCCAGGCCACGGACGCCCCACCAGGGCAAACCACCACCACUGCUGUAGCCGGGCACCGCGCCACCACAGCCUCCGCCCAGACCACCCCUAGCGAAGAAGGAACCGGGCCCCGCCAUCGCUGAUGCCGUGCAGGCUUGCCCGAAGGCAGCGAGGGAGAUGGGGGCUGUGGUUUUGCUAGAUGGGAUCGGGCAUGUUUUUCGGAUCUUGAUUGGCUCUUGGCUCCUUGUUUAAAUCUUCUAAUUAAAGAGGUAAGUUUUAAUCUUUAACACUUACCUGCUUCCGCCCUCGUGGUGGCCCUCCCUUGGUUCCAACAGCGCCGGUGGACGGCGGAGGUUGGGCACACGACCACCUUCUCCCUUCGUCGAUGAGCCUUGAGGAUCUUGCCCAGCUGGAGGAGGCGGGAUACUUCCCCAAGGGGGACGGUAUCCUGCCCGAUGGCGAGGAGGUGAGGCUCGACCAGCGGCGGCGUCCGGGAUGCAUCGUGGCAUUCUCGGCUUGGUUCCACGCCGGCCUAUGUGUGCAUGUUCACUCCUUCUUGCUGGAGUUCCUGGAGACGUACAACAUCGAGUUGGCCCAGCUUCACCCGUCGACGAUCGUGAGGUGAACGUUUUUAGGUGGCUGUGUGAAACGGCGCUUCACGAGGAGCCUUCGAUGAAGCUUCUGCUCUUCUACUUUACAGUGGAGGUGAGGGAGCUGCUCACUCCGGACGGCUUUGCUCUGAGCGCCUUUGGUUCGGUGAACCUGAGGCUUCGUUCCGGCUUUGGAGACGACUUCCUGCUCAUGCCGGGGAAGAGUGCAAAGAAGUUGUUCGUCAAGUGGGAGUCCCAGUGGUUUCUUCUUCGGGCUUCGAAGACCCGUCUUCGGCACACGGGUGAUCUUCCUCGGCACUCUGGGGCCGGAGGUCUUAGGGAGGUGUCUCACCCCGGCGAUCCUCGAUCAGCCGACCUCUGGGAAGUGGCCAAGAUCAAGGAGGUGUCCGCCGAGAGGAGCUUUCGUGACCUCAUGGAGAAGAUGGUGAUGGCAGGAUGCUUCAUGAUGAGGAGCCGUCCGAGGUCCGAGAUUGGGACCCCUCGAUCUUUCCGUCCUCCACAGCUUGUCACCGCACGUGAGUGGCGCCCCUCUCCCCUUCGUACUUUGCUUGUUUUCCCUUGUGAAGGUACUUAACAAUUUUGGCUUGUCUUUUUUCAGCGACGUUUUCCGAGGAGAAGGCGGCGUUGUGGGCCGCGCAGCUGAUAGGUCCGUACGGCGGACCGGAGCACCGCGACUACGAGACCAAGAUCAGCGAGGGGGGAUGCCACAACAUCAUCGCGAGGUGCUUCGGGAAGAUGGUGCCGGUGCGACAGGACCCGAAGCUUGGUCGCCUUCUCUGAGUGGGCGAUCGCUACUCCCGCUUGGCUACACCGUCGAUGUUGGCGGUUGGGUCCAAGUUGCGGGACUCUUGUGGGAAGGCGAAGGCGGGAACGGCGGUGCUGGGCUUGGCGGUGCCUGUCGUGCCGGUUCCCAAGAUACCUCGUCUGUCGAGUGGAUGCAAGAUGAAGGCUCCCCUGACUCCUUCUCCUUCUCUUGACUACGCCCCGGUAGAUUCGGCGGAUCCUGUCGUGGGCGAAUCGAGGUCCUCCCUGAGGGUGACCUUGGACCAGCACAUGAAGGGGAAGAUUGGACUGAGCAAGUUCUUCCUCCUUCAAGUCACGAGGUUGAGGCUUUCACUCGCGAGACGGGGCUUCGGCUUCGGAGCGACUCAGUGGUGGAGUUGUCGACCAGAGCCAGCGGUGCGAGCGUCCAGGUGUUCUCCACUGGUCGCGAGCGUCCCGAGGAGGAUGCUCCUACCUCGGGUGAGUGCCCUUCUCUUUUGGUCACGUCAUUCUUUUUCUGAAUGAUUUUGACAUGUUCUCCUUGGUUUGUUUCUAGGUGCGAGGGCCGCGGAGCCCGGGGUUCUUGAGGGCGAACCCCUGACUCAAGCGAGGGAUGGAGUGCUUCCAUCGACCGUGGAUGGAGCGAGAGACCCUUUCGUGACACUGGAGCUGGUGAGCAUCCGUGACGUACCUCCCUUGGUUCUUUGGGUUAGCUUUUGUGCUAACUCCCUCUUCUUUGUAGGUGAGGGGUUUGGUCGAGGCCGUGGGCGCCCUUCCUGCCCUUAAGACUCAGGUGGGGGCGCUUUCCGCUGCUUUGGACAUGGAGAUGUCCAAGUCUACCCUUGCCUUGAGCGAGUUGGCUUCGAAGAGGGUGCGGCGCGAGGCCGUGGAGGCCGAGCUUUCCCGCGUUUCGGCGGAGCUUGCAGCCGUGGAGACCAGGGCUCGACUUGCUGAGGAGUGCCAGAAGGACGAGAUUGCGAGGACCCGUCGAGUUGAGGAGGACUUGGUGGUGGCCAACCUUGAUAGGGAGCAUGCCCGCGCGGAGGCUACUUCCCUCAAGGUGGAGUUGGCGGCAGCGGGUGAUGGCCCGAUGCUUGCUCCUCGUGCUCGUCCUCCUCCGGAUCGUCGUCCUGAGGUGGUUUCGCUUUUACUUGCUCAGGCCACCGAGAUUCAGGAGAUGAUGAUUUGCCUAAGGAGUGUUCCUCAGCCGGAUCUUCCUCCGUGUCGUAUGGUGGAUGAGACGAGCAGGGUGCUUACUUCCCAGUUGGAGCUCAUUGAGCCUACCGUGAAGAAGUGCCUCCUGAAAACGGGUGCUCGACUUGUUUCGCCAGCGGUUGCGGCAGUCCUGGACGGUGGUGCCGGGAUGAGCGGUCUUGAGGGUGAGAUGUCUCACGGGGCGAAGAAGUUUCUGGCGGACUAGGGUGCUCCUCUUCGCGCUCAGGCUCGACGCUUCGUGCGUUGCCUUGAGCCUGCUCUUCAGGAGGGUGGUGGUGAGGUGUGAGCCUCGUCGCCCUCGGAGGUGGUGAUGUACCUCAGCUGCUUACUUAUGCGAUGUUGCAUAUCUCCACUUGACUUAGCCUCAUGGCUAGCAUGUUUAGGCUCUUAGUCGUAGAGGUUGUAAGGCAGCUUUUUUGUUGUGUUUCAUGCUUCACUAUAUAGUCAACAUUAUCGGAAAUAUUAACUUAGCUCAGCAUGUAUUUUUCAUGUUUCACCAUGUAGUCCACAUUAUCGAAAAUGUUAACUUGGCUCAACAUGUGUUUUUUGGAGUACUAUAUUUUCUUCUUGUGAAGUACUAUAUUUUCUCAGUUUAUACAGCUCGCGAUCAUUCGCUAUGAUUGCACUUUUGUGUCAUCAAUUGCUGUCGCCGUUCGGAUACGACUCGGCUUCGACGCCUUAGGCCAUGGUUACGAGCCACGAGUCCUAGUAUCCUUGUGAGGGUCGCUAUCAAUAUGCCGGUAGUGAUCCGGACAUUUUGACCUGCCGUUCGGGAAAUUUCAUGCGGAAUGUUCCCUCUUCGGACUUCAGGAAGCUAUGCUUUCCCGUGAUUAUUAUGGAGCCUUAACCCGGUUACUAUCAUGCAGGCCCGUGCGCGACGUCUCGCAUACGGGUAGCACGGUUCUCCGAGGUAAGUAAGCUCAUGCAUAACUCGCUUAUUUACGGUUCUCCUUAAAUGCGUUUUAAGGAGCUUCCGGCCCUCAGGGGACUUGGUUCUACUUGGCGGAUGGCCUCGAGGCACGUUAGGAUCCGCCAAAGAACAAGUCGCUAGUAGCGACCUAUGUCCGUGGACAUUCUUUAGAGGUGCUUGGGCCCACGGAGGCCUUUCCGCAUUCCUCGGUGAGCGGCACAGGGGCAGCGGCUCUUUUUACGAUGAUGAGUCAUGUGACUGUCUCGUGUCACUCUUAAUUUUUCCUCAAGGACUUAUUUUAUUGAUCCUUACUUCCUUGUCUUAAGGUAUGGCCCGAUGGGCGCUUACAAGCCUUACGUAGACGCGGCCUCAUUGGCCCUUAUGAUCCCUCGAAGUUUCGUAGGGAAACGGCCGGUUGGGUGCUGAAGUCUUUUUUCGGGAGCGACAAGAAUUGCCCUUGAAGGUCCUCCUUAGGCGUAGAAACGCCGGAGCUUUUCGCCGUUCCAGGCAUGGACAAGAUUUUGCCCUUUCAUAUUCUCGAGGUGGUAUGCACCAUUUCCCAAUACUGCGGUGAUGCGGUAUGGUCCUUCCCAUUUAGGGUCGAGUUUGCGCUGGAGCUUUGGGUCGAUGUUCUUUUUCAGCACGAGAUCUCCUUGGGAGAAGGCUCGUUUCCGCACUCUUGUGUUGUAGAAGCAUGCAGCGCUUUGCUCGUAGAUGGCGUGCCUCAUGAGGACUUUGUCACGAGCUUCUUUCACAAGAUCGAUAGCCGUCUUGUGAUGCUCUUCAUUUUCGAUGAAGGCAAUUGGAGUGGCUUCUUGGAGCCUUUCGACCCGAGGUGAGCGGAACUCGACCUCGGCGGGAAGAACUGCUUCGGCUCCAUACACCAAAGAGAAUGGUGUUCGGCCCGUGUAACGGCAUACGGAGGUGCGUAUGCCCCAAACCAUGCUAGCGAGUUCAUCUCCCCAUGCUCCGCUUGCUUUGCUAACCGUGUGCUCUACCCUUCGGUGGAGUAGGAUUAGUCCAUUUGUCCUUUCGCAUGCGCCGUUACUCUUGGGGUAAGCUACGGAUGCGAAGUGCAGUUUGAUCUCAAGGCAUUCGCAGAAUUUGAUGAAUUCCGCACAGCCGAACUGUUUGCCUUUGUCCACGGUUAGCUCUCGCGGACGCCAUAUCGGCACAUGAUGUUUUCCCAGAAAAAAAUUUGAACGGCCUGUGACGUGAUCUUGCCGAGCGGCGCUGGUUCUAUCCAUUUGGAGAAGUAAUCAAUCAUCACCACGAGAUAUUUGCAGCCCCCGUUGCAUGCGGGGAAAGGCCCGAGAAGGUCCAUUCCCCAGCGUGCAAAUGGCCAUGUUAUCGGGAUAUUCUUCAGGAAAGUCACGAGCGCAUGGAUUGACUUAGCCAUUUUCUGGCAAGCUUCGCAUUUCCGCAAUAUGGUGAUUGCGUCUUGCACCAUGGUGGGCCAAUAGAAUCCCUGACGUAAGGAUUUUGCCGUGGUGGCUCUUGGCGCAAGAUGGUGGCCGCAUAGUCUUGAAUGGAUUUUCAGGUGGAGCUCGGCUCCCUGGUCAGGAGUUAUGCACUUAAGCAAUGCGGCCGCUCCUUUCUUGUAUAGGAUGCCAUCGAGGAGGACAUACAUCUUGGCUUUUGCGAGUAGAGUUUUGGCGCUCGGGCCUUCUGCUUCUUCGUCCACUUCGCCUUUCAAGGCGCGAAUAAUCGGUGUCAUCCAAGAGGGUGGAGCGUCGAUGACAAUGCUGGUCUUUGAAGCUUCGUCAAGGGCGUCGGCUUCUUCCUUUAUGGAUGGGGCGCGAAUUACUUCGAAGAAUGCACUGGGUGGCAGCGGUUCUUUGGAACCGGCCGUUCGGGCUAACCUGUCGGCUAGGUGAUUUUCUCCUCGCGGAAUGCAUCGCCCCUCCAUACCCAGGAAAUACCGUUCCAUCUUGCGAACUUCUUCGAUAUAUUUCUUCAUCCUUUCAUCAAGGCAUUGAUAUGAUUUGUCCAUUUGGUUUAACACUAGUUGGGAGUCUCCUUGGAUGAGAAGGCGUCGGACUCCCAUGGCCUUGCCCAGUCGAAGCCCGAGAAGUAGCGCCUCAUAUUUCACCAUAUUGUUGGUAGCGUUGAAGUCAAGAUGGGCGGUGUACUCCAAGAUCUUACCUUCGGGGCUGAUGUGUAUGACUCCAAUGUGGUUGGAGGGGCUCGAUUUUGGAUGUGAUUUCUUCGGGCGGGGUUAGUGGAGCAUGCCACUCGGCCACAAAGUCAGCCAGGACUUGGGAUCUUCAUGCACAAGAAGUUGUGGUGGACGGCGGCGCAAAGUCGGUUUAGCGUCGUCCUCCCGAGGAUGGCGUUAAAGGAGGCCCCCAUAUCCACCACGUCGAACCGUACGAGCUCGGUUCGAUGAUUUGUGGUGUUUCCGAAGGUCGUGAGGAGCUCCAUUUGUCCGAGCGGCUGAAUGAACUUCCCCGGCACGAAACCGGUGAAGGAAUAAAGGGAUGGUUGUAGCGAGCCAUUCUUGUAGCCCCCUUUUGGUUCCAUUAGCUUCUUUAAUGUGCUCAGAUAUAGGAUGUCGGCGGAGCUUCCACCAUCCACAAGAAUCUGCUUGAGCUCACAAUUGGCAACGAUCGUCAUCACACAGAGGGCGUCGUCAUGCGAGAAGCGUAUCCCCUUGGCGUCUUCUUCGGUGAAGGCAAUUGGCACACUCGCCCACUUGGGUGGUGGUGUCGGGGUGAAGGUUCCCACGACAUUGACUUCGUGAGCAUACUCCUUGCGUUCUUGCUUUGAUCCCCAUCCCAUGGUGGAGCCCCCGAGUAUCACUCCGACGUGAUGUGCGGAUUCCUGAAACGGGAGGUUAUCUUCCUUUGGUGCUGGGUCAGCGACAAGGACGUUGGUGGGGCAUGGAGCCUCGGCUGUCUUCUCAUCCUUGUGCCGGGCUUGCAUUCGUGCCUGGAACUCUUUGCGAGCCGUGAUGAGAGUGUUUCACUCUUCAGUGCUGUGGCUUGCCAAGUUGUGGAUGAGGCAUCUCCCAGUUCCUCCCUCGGCAGGGCGAGGUGGCUUCUUGGGCUGCCACGUCUUUUGGGAUGGUGCUUGUCCUUCGACGGCGAAGAUCUUCCGGGCUUGGUCACCGGGAGCCUGUUUCCCCCACCUCCUCUUCUUCUUGGAAGACGAAGUAGGCGCAGGGGGUUUGUCAGACGAGGGAGCUCCUUCGGGAGCGGCGCGUGGCGCGUCUUUUUUGGCGAUGUCCCCGUCUUCGCCCCGGGCGUAUUCUUGCAAGAUUCGAUAGAGCUCCUCGGUCGUCUUCGGCGGGUUACGACUUAGGGCCCGAUUCACUUCUCCUUGGAGAAGACCUUGCGUACAUGCGUCAAUCACGGUGGUCGACGACAGGUUGGCGAUUUGGCUUUGCACCUUUGCAAAGCGAUGGAAGAAGCUUCGGAGGGAUUCCCCCGGCUUUUGUUUUACGGCGUAUAGCUCGUGAGCCUGCACGGGUUCUUUGAAGUUUUCUUGAAAUUUGGCGAUGAAGACCUCUUGGAGGCGCUCCCAUGAGUGCACGGGGUUCUUCCGCAGGUUAUAAAACCAAGUUUGCGCCAUUCCGGUGAGCGCGAGCGGAAAGAGGUUGCACAUCUCGACGGAACCUCCCCCGGCGGCCCGUAGGGCGGUGGAGUAGACAUCCAAGAAUUGAAGAGGAUUCGACUCCCCGUCGUAUGGUCGUAUUGUGGGUGGCUUGAACCUUGGCGGAAAAGACGCGUCUUGGAUCUCCCGCGUGAGCGGGUUGCAAGUCGGUCGAUUCUUUUGGUUCCUUCGGUGGCGAGGUCCUCCCUCGUCGCUUUCGUCGCUAGAGGGGUCGCUUGGAGAAUGAUCUCGACGUUUUCUUGGAGGGUUGGAGCGUCGACGGGAAUUCCUUUCGCCGCCGGCACGGGCUCCGGAUUCCGCCACUUGCUUGUUUCCAUGCACGUUGGGGUCUCGUUCACCGCGAGGCGCAACUUGAGGUGGUACCUGGUGUCCGCCUUGUUCGACCCCGACAGGGGGAGCAAGGGGCGCUUGCGGAGCACUCGCAAAGCGAGGUUGAUGUUGAGUGUGUGCGACUUGGAGAGCGUCUUGCGGCGGAAGCCCCCAAUAAGGAUGAUACCAAGGAGCUCCUUGGAUGAUCGCAGUGAGUGCUAGUGGAGGUAAUCCCGGGUUGGAGGGGUCGUAGGCCGGGGCUCCUUGGUUUUCUGGCGCGGAUCCUCCCGAUGUCACAUUGUUUCCUCUCGUAGGUUCCGAGGGCAGGGUCACCACCGGUUGUAGGGAAGGUGACACGAAGCCCAUCGAGCGAGGCAUGCCGAGUUCCAUAUCCCCUGCAGGGGCGGCAACCGUAGGCAGCUCGCCGAUCCUUACCACUAUGUUGGUGAGUGUCGAGGGACCGCCUACGAUGGUUUCGAGCACCUCGGUUCCUUCCGGGACGGUCGGUAGUGGAGGGGCGACCGCGACUUCCGUCGUAGGGCGUGUACGCCGGCCUUAUAGCGAAGGUCGCCGUACACUUGGACAAGUUGACAUGUCGAUAUUUUUUGAAUAGGUUCGGUUGACCCUGCGGGUGCGACUUAAUCCUAUGUUAGGAAAGACUUCGAGGGGAUUGUUAGCCAAGGGAUUGGGCCGAGCGGAUCUUCCCAAGACACCUUUUGGCGAGAGGUUUGUCGGGGCCGCCUUGUACUUAGACCGAACGCGUCUUUCCAAGUAUCGAGGUUAGGAUACCCUCGGAACUCUAACCCAACCACUUCUCCUUCGAGCCCGUGCCAACCAAGGUUAGCUCGGAGCCUCGAAACUAGAGUCCCCUAGAAGGCUUUCUCGAGGCCGAUCGACUUUUAGUUGAGAGCGGCGCGCGAGAGCGAACCUUAAAGGGAGCACUCUAGCUCUCUCCCCUUGAGUUUAUUCAAGUGAGAGUGAAUGGUACAUGCCCCCAUGAGGGGGUUUUAUAGCUUAGGAGUCCAUGACAAAAGACCAUGACUACCCUUGAGGGAGAGAGAAAAGUGGGGGCAAAAUGGUAAAAGUAGCUCCUUUGGUUCAUAACUUUUGUGUGCACCAUGAGGAGGAAAUGAGGGAUGGUCCAUGAUCCACCAUGGACCAAAAGCCUCAUCCCACACCUUUCUUGCCCCCUAUUCUAGCUCAUUUGACCCUUUGUCCAUGGCAUGAGAGGCUUGACUUGUUGACUUGUCUUCCUUUGCCACGUAGGAUUGACCGCGCCACGUGGACGUCUUGAUUCGUGCUUGAGAAACGUUGACUUGGUCAUCGCCAUGUAGGAUUUACGGCCCGGCCCAUAUAAGGAUUUUAUUUUACUACAACACUACCCAAUGCCAACUACCGCCAACCGUUCCAAAGAGGCGAUUGGGAGGCGACGAUUCGUUCUUCUUUGUUUUUGCCUCCCUGUUCCAAUUUCCACUGCUCCGAUGGUCAAAGGAGGGGUCGGUUCCCAGUUUCUUUUCCAUGGUGUUUGCAAAGGUAACUUUUUGUUCGUUUGGAGGCGUUCGUUCGGUGAGAGCCACGCCGGGUUGAAUAAAACCGCCUCGACUUUCUCCUCACCAUGGCAGCUUUGAGAAAUUAGUAGUAGUCUUGUUUGCUCACUGGUUAUUCUCGGUGAUGAGAUUUAUUGUUUUUUGUUUCGUUGGCGGUUGUUGUUCUCUGCAAUAGUACCAGUGGGCGGGAAAAGAUGGUGAUCAAGGAGGAGAAUUUGCGGUUUGUUGAUGGUGGAUGAUGUUUUAUCCUGUUCAUUGGCGGGAUGCGAUGAUGGAUCUAGGUCUAGGCCAACACAAGGAUGUUCUCCAGUCGACGUGACACAACGACAAGUGUCUCGCUGCGCGCAAAUGGUUUGUUUCAUCAACUCUAAAUUAAGGCUUCUAUGGCAAUGGUACAAAUCUGGAGCUUGCCAUGUUGGAGGUUGUGCAAGAAAAGAUACAUCAUCAGGAAGAGGAAGAGGUUUGGAAAGGAAGUGCAGGUUUAUCCCAAGGAGCGCAACAACCAUGGAUGCCUUUAAUUCCUGUGCAUCAGCGACGCGACGAGACGCGGUGGCACACGGCAGCGAGCCAGCGAGCAGCCCCGCAGCCAGCGCCAGCCUGGCGGAUUGGACCCCACAGCCGUAACGGCUUUUCCAGCCAUGGCAGCAGGAGUGAAAAACUGGAUGACCGGCAGUUGAAAUUUCGAAUGAACAAGGCAAUGCAGCCAUGCCAGCGACGGUAAAUUUCCCCGUGGGCAAAUUAAGUCACCGUAAAUUCCCAUUCUCCCCGCCCCGGACAAGGACAACUAUAAAAUCCCGCUCCCCGUCUUCGUCUUCGUCCACAAGGUACGUACACCACACCGGCCGUCACGCCCGCCCGCGCACCCGCGACCCGAGAGAGAGGGAGGGAGAGCUCGAUCGGUGCUGGGCGGGCGAUGGAAGACGACUUGUGGACGGCGGUGAGGCAGCGGGUGCCAGAAAUCCUCCAGGCCGCCGACGCCAUGGGAUCAGACGUCAUCGACGAAAUCACCCUCGCCCUCGCUUCUCUCGGCUCGCGCAGGCUCAACUUGAGCCUCUUGAAUUCCGGCGUCGUCCGCCGGCACCUGAACGCCUUCAACAUCGAGGCGCUCGACAGCGCCAUGAUCCUCGAACGCGCCCGCUACGCCCUGGCGCGCCACAACGAGUUCCACCACAUGGCCUUCCGCGUCUUCUCCCUCUACGGCGAGCACGACCCGCCGCCGGCCGCCCACCUUCUGCAGAUGGACCACGGCCUCCUGCCCGGAGACCCGCUCUGGGAGGCCUGGUUCGGGCGCUACGGCGAGUCCCAGCACCUGUCGGCCGCGGUGGCGCGGACGCUCCGCUCCGCGAUGGCCUACGACCAGGCGACCAGAGACGCCGCGUCCGUGUCCAGGAAAUGCCCCGUCGAUUCCCCCCGCUGGACCGAGUGGAUCCGCGCGGCUCACGAUCUCGCCGUGCGUGCCGAAGCGGAGGUCACCACGGCACGGGACCAGGCGGUGCAGAUGCACGACUCCGUCGUCGCGGAGUACGGCGACGUCACGGCGAUCCUAGACAGCUACUAAGCACCUGAUCCUAGACAGCUACUAAGCGGAGGCCAACAUCCAGCUCGCCGAUCUAUUGACAAGCCUCCGUUCUGUUCGGUCAUCCUUGCAGGUUUUGCGGUUUCCAAGCUUUUCUCACUCAUAGAACAUAGUUGCCUUAGUUGGUGCGUGGCCAGGAGAUACUGUCUUGUAGAUAAAGAUGUCGAGCAUGUCGCUUGUUCAUCAUCCCUGAUCCGUCGCUGAACGGGAUUUCUAUCUGCCAGUAGCUAGGGUCGGUGUUUCCGUUUUGUGUUUCUGCAUGUCUGUAGAUAAGCAUGUCGGUUGUUAAUACAGUAUGUUGUUGGACUCAUAACUCCUGAAGAAGGUCAGAUCAGCUUUAAUGACGGAUCAUAGAUGCACGUUUCUAUCUGCUGCUUCUAGAAUUACCCUACUUGUAGUUUUCUAGUACUACCAAGGUUCAACAUGGCUUGCGGUCCAGCUUCACCACUUCCUGUAUCAGUUCAGCAUGGUACGGCAUUCUGAAUAGAGAUCUCUUCUGAAUAUGAAAUAGAAACCAGGAACUUCUCCCUUUUCACGUCGUUCUAUAAAGUGAUGGCCUGAUACAGUUAAUUAUGGUCCAGAACAGAACAUCAAACAAGUGCAGUAGGCGUGCAGACAACUGGGAAGUGUUCAGCCAAGAAUCAAACUCCCAGGUUAUCAUCAUCAAAUUGGCAGAAACAUCCCACAUUAUACAUGAUGGUAAUUUGUCAAAGAAUAUUAACCAUAAAUGAGUAGGCACAUGCGGAUCAUAGCAUGCAGGAACAUGCACAGUUUACGUCCAGACUCAUCAAAGUUACAUCUCAAAUACAAAUAGAAGCCACCAAACACGUGUCUCCAUAGACCCCUGGGACCAAAUCAGGACUGUCUCAACAGUAGACAUUUCCGCAGUCUUAACACUUCCCAUAGAUACAGAUAAGGCUAGACACUACCAGGUCUUCUAGGGGGAAUGACUAUUGAAACGAGAAAUCUUCUACCAUGGAAGCUGAAAUGCGGUAUAUAAUUUAGUUUUUUUCUAGCAUGAACAUUUCAAAAUAUCCAACUGAAAUGAAUAGAUCAGAAAUUGGUUAGAUUUAAGGAUGAGAAAGACCAUUACAUUAAUCUGCUUAUUGGAAAUAAGGAUCAAACAGCAACACUAGCAAAAAAAUUAAGCAAAUUAAGACACCAGCUGAACUUUCAGAACAGGAGACUGAGCUUGUGCAGUUAAUAUUUGCUUGGUGGUCAGUCAGUGCCCCUGUCACUCGUUACCUCACAAAUCUAUACCAAAACAUCACGAUAAAAACAUAAGAACUUGGUGAAAAUAAGUGCCCAGGAUCCAAAUUUGCAGAAUGAAAAAACAGUGGGGUGUUGAAAGUGGAGCAUCAAACUCUUGUGUCUUGUCCCUCCAGGCCUCUUAACUAGUUUGGCCAUUUAUCAUGAAUUUUCACUUAUCCUGGAUCUGUAUAAUAGAUACAAUGCUGGCCAAAAAGGGAUCGAGUAAUGCCAAACUUGGAAUCCACCACGCACCUUACCAUCAGUAAACUGAAACUGUGUUUCUGGCCAAGAAAAUAUGCUUUUCUGCCCCUACUAACUGAAGUACACAUUGUACGGAAAAAAUUGCAAGUUAGAGGCUAAUUUCACAAGAAAGUGAAAUGAUUGGUGAGAACUAAUUAAAUUAGCACCAUAAUAUAGGUGUUAAUUUAAUAACCAUUGGUAAGCAGUCAGCCUAUCCGAAUGUACUGUGACAGCCAAAAGUGGGAACAACUUAGCCUAGGAUAAUGCCAAGCCUAACCUGUGAUGUACAGAAACAAAAAGAAAUCAUACUAACUGCACAAAGACAGAAGUAUGCACGGGUCAUCAUGAUUAGUAAGUAAUGAUCAGGGACGCAAAGCAACCAAUUCAGUACUUGCUAAUAAAUGCAUAAUCAACCUAAGAAAAAUGGUUUUAUUCCUCAAUCAAGUUCCUAUUUAAAACCCUUCUACAGGACAAAUUUCCCAGCAGUUCUUUUGCCUCCUCCAGAAAGCCCUCAUAGGCAAUGCCUUCAACGAGAAUGAUAUAGGUUGAUUCAUCAGGCAUGCAGCCAUUGGACACCAUAUAAGCAAAAAAGUCGAUAGCAAGAUCUGUUCUCCAUUUUUUACAAAGACCAAGCAGUAUAGCAUUAUAAAGCAUCUUGUCAGGAGAUAAGCCCAUGGCCUGAACUCUGCGGAACAUUCCGAUAGCCCUCUCCAUUUCAUCUUCUCUUGACAACCCGAAAGCUAACGAUUUGUAAGUAGUUGUAUCUGGGCAAAGGCCAUUAGAGACCAUCAGGUUCAACAAAUCCAGGGCUUCCUCCGUUUUGCAAGAUUUGCAAAGACUAGCAAUUACUUUAUUGUAAGUAAUCACGUCCGGAUGACAGCUAUUUCCCACACUCUUUAAUAGAUCAAGUGCUCCCCUUGUCUUGCCAGCCUUGAGAAGCUCUUCAACCAUUAUAUUAUAGGUAGUUGAGUUCGGCAUGCUGCCCUUCUCAGAUAUUAACUUCAGAAUUUCAAUUGCUUGUGAAUGCAACCCUUUCUGACAUAAACAAGUCAUUAUUGUAUUAAAUGUCUCUUCAUCUGGGGGACAACUGUUGUGGAUCAUCUUAACCAUGAGCUGCCCAGCAUCCUCCCACCGCUCAACACUGCACAAGCCCAUCAAUACAGUGUUAUAUGUAAUGAUAUCAGGCUUGCCUCCAUUAGAUUGCAGACAGUCUAACAAUUUCAUGGCAUCCUCGAUGCACAUUUUGUUGCACAAACCGUCAACGAUACAAUUGUAUGUGGUAAUGUCCGGGAUGCAUCCAUGCUCUGACAUUUCAUCAACAACUUUAAUUGCACGAUCAAACAGUCCUUUCUGACACAAGGAAGUGAUUAUUGUGUUGAAUGUCACUUGAUCUGGGAUACAGUUCUUGCUGACCAUCUCAGCCAAGAGCUCCUCUGCAUCAUCCCAUCGUUCAACGCAACACAGGCCCUUCAACAGCGUGGUAUAGGUAAUGAUAUCUGGCUUGCACCCAUAGGAUUGCAGAUCACUUAGUAACUUGAUAGCCUCGUCAACACGCCUUUCUUUGCACAAACCAUCCAUAAUGCUGCUGUAUGUGAUAAUAUCUGGGGUGCAUCCGUGCUCUGACAUUUGAGCAAGAACUUUAGUUGCACGACCAACAAACCCUUUCUGACACAAAGAAGUAAUUACUGCAUUGAAUGUCACCUCAUCCGGGGCACAAUCGUUGCUGAACAUCUUGGUCAAGAGCUUGUCAGCCUCCUCCCACCUCUCAGAGCUGCACAAACUUUUCAACACAGGGGUAUAGGUCACAGCAUCAGGCUUGCAUCCAUAGGACGGUAAGCUAUUCAAGACCUUGAGAGCUUCACCAACAUCACCCUGACUGCACAUAGCAUUGAUGAGGACGUUGUAGGUUACAAUGUCCGGCUCGCAGCCCUUGGAGCGCAUCUCAUCGAGAAGCACCACAGCCUGCUUGUAGCCACUCUCCUUGCACGUGGCAUCUAAGAGGAUACUGUAGGUGACCACACUGGGGGAGCAGCCCCGGUGGAGCAUAUCGUCGAACACCGCGAGGGCGUCCAGAACGCACCCACGGACACACAGCGCGCGGAUCAGGGGGUUGUAGGUGAACGUGUCCGGCGCGAACGGCACGGAGUCGAUCAUACGACGGGCCGCGUCUAUAUUGCCGGCGCGGCAGUAGCCGUUUACCAUGGUGUUGUAGGUUAUGAUGGUGGCGGACGGACCGAGCGCCUCGACCACGCGCUCAGCGUCGGCGACACGGCCGUCGGCGCAGAGCUUCUUGAUGAGGAUGUUGCAGGGGAUGACCGCAGGGUCCUUCCCGCUGCCGGAGAUGGAGUGCACGAGGCGUAGGGCGCCGUCGAGCUCGCCCCGCUGCACGAGGCCGCGCAGGCGCCUGUUGGCCCCGCCGCCACUCCGAGCAGGGGGCUUCGGCGGCGUCCUUGUCCAUUUGGCAGUGCCGUGGUCGCGGUUAUGGUAGUCGGCGGCAGCUUGCGGGCACUUGGGUUUUAGCUUCUGGACGGGAAGCGAAGGGGAGCGCGGAGGUGGAAGGGUCGGCAGCUUGGGGAGACGCGGUAGUGAGGAAGCCGCCAUGGCCAUGAGGCGAUAGAAUGCGACGACACCCCGAGCUCGCUCGCUCGGCUCACUCGAUCACAUGGGCUUGUAAGCCCAAGUCCGCAACCAGUUGGGCCCCAUAAAGCCCAAGUCGCAACGAGUUGGGGCUCUGUAUUAUAUCUUAGUACUUGGGCUUCUAUUGUGACUUGUGAGUGUGCUGUCCUAUCCUCGCGAACUGUAGAGAGAGAGAGAGAGAGAGAGAGCGCACGGCGGCGGAGACGAUGGCGAGCGGAGGGAAGGGGCUGAACGCGACGGGAGAGUUCUUCCGGCGGCGCGACGAAUGGAGGAGGCACCCGAUGGUGGGGAACCAGCUGCGCCACGCCACCCCAGGCCUUGGCAUCGCCAUCGUCGCCUUCGGGAUCUACCUCGUCGGCGAGGCCGCCUACAACCGCCUUUACCCCUCCAGCGGCAACCACCACUAGAUCGGCCCCCGAAGGUAACCGCCCGUAUCUCUGAUUUUUCUUUUUCUUUUUCAGUCG
rnacentral:lncRNA from 1 species